rnacentral:rRNA from 1 species
GUAGGGAAACUGCCUGAUGGAGGGGGAUAACUACUGGAAACGGUAGCUAAUACCGCAUAACGUCGCAAGACCAAAGAGGGGGACCUUCGGGCCUCUUGCCAUCAGAUGUGCCCAGAUGGGAUUAGCUAGUAGGUGGGGUAACGGCUCACCUAGGCGACGAUCCCUAGCUGGUCUGAGAGGAUGACCAGCCACACUGGAACUGAGACACGGUCCAG